rnacentral:lncRNA from 1 species
CUUUCUUACAAUAACUUUAUCUCAAAGCCAUUUCUACCCGUUGAUUUGUUUUGGACACCCAAGAUCAAAUAUGAUUUGAUCUAUUAAGGUGUUAAGAAAGGUUUUGGGGCAUGAGAGAUCUAGUUGGUGCAACAAAAAUAAGAAGAGGGAGAGAGGGUGCGUGUAAGAUGUAGAGAGUCUUCUUUCAUGCACCAACCUUCUUUAUUUCUUACAUCCCAACCCUCUUCCUCCCCUUCUCCACUUCAUCCAUGCCU